CUGCUCAACUGCCCAGCAUGACCAGUGGCCACCUCUGCAGUAUCUCCCACAACCUAGUCUUGUCUCAACUGCUGGACGAAUCUCCUGACCCUCUGGCCAGUUGUGAACAUAGUUCCUAAAAUAUGGCGGACGUGCCCAACCGCAAGUCUUGUGCCUCUCCAGUGGAUCUGUUUAACAGCAUAGCUACACAAGGGGAGCUCAUGCAGUCCCUCAAAGCUGGAAAGGCACCAAAGGAUGAAAUUGAUUCUGCAGUGAAGAUGUUGCUAUCUUUAAAAAUGAGCUACAAAGUUGCCACAGGGGAGGAUUACAAAGCUGACUGCCCUCCAAAGAACACAACACCCAAGAAUAAUCAAGGAUCAGAUGCCACAGAAGUGGAAGAGGAUUUUGUGGACCCAUGGACAGUACAGACAAGCAGUGCAAAAGGCAUUGACUAUGAUAAGCUCAUUGUUCGAUUUGGAAGCAGUAAAAUUGACAAAGAGUUGGUAAACCAAAUAGAGCCACUGGCCAAAGACCACACCACUUCCUGCACAGAGGCAUCUUCUUCUCACACAGAGAUAUGAAUCAGGUUCUUGAUGCCUAUGAAAAUAAGAAGCCAUUUUAUCUCUAUACGGGCAGAGGUCCCUCUUCUGAAGCAAUGCAUGUAGGUCACCUCAUCCCAUUUAUCUUCACAAAGUGGCUGCAAGAUGUGUUUAAUGUGCCCCUGGUCAUCCAGAUGACGGAUGAUGAGAAGUAUCUCUGGAAGGACCUGACCCUGGACCAGGCCUAUGGCUAUGCCGUGGAGAAUGCCAAGGACAUCAUAGCCUGUGGUUUUGAUAUCAACAAGACUUUCAUAUUUUCUGACCUCGACUACAUGGGGAUGAGCCCAGGCUUCUACAGGAAUGUAGUGAAGAUUCAGAAGCAUGUUACCUUCAACCAAGUGAAAGGGAUUUUCGGUUUCACUGACAGUGACAGCAUUGGGAAGAUCAGUUUUCCUGCCAUCCAGGCUACUCCCUCCUUCAGCAACUCGUUCCCACAGAACUUCCAAGACAGGACGGACAUCCAGUGCCUUAUCCCAUGUGCCAUUGACCAGGAUCCUUACUUUAGAAUGACUAGGGACGUUGCCCCUAGGAUCAGCUAUCCUAAACAAGCCCUGCUGCACUCGACCUUCUUCCCCGCUCUACAGGGUGCCCAGACCAAAAUGAGCGCCAGCGACCCCAACUCCUCCAUCUUCCUCAUUGAUACCGCCAAGCAAAUCAAGACCAAGGUCAAUAAACAUGCAUUUUCUGGAGGGAGAGACACCAUUGAGGAACACAGGCAGUUUGGGGGCAACUGUGACGUGGAUGUGUCUUUUAUGUACCUGACCUUCUUCCUCGAGGAUGAUGACAAGCUAGAACAGAUCAGGAAGGAUUAUACCAGUGGAGCCAUGCUCACCCAGGAGCUCAAGAAGACGCUCAUAGAGGUUUCUCCAGCCCUUGGUAGCUGAGCACCAGGCACGGUGCAAGGAGGUCACAGAUGAAAUAGUGAAAGAGUUCAUGACUCCCCGGAAGCUGUCCUUCGACUUUCAGUACUAAUGUUCAUUUUAUAUAUGCAUAUAAACACGUGUAAUGUGUCAAUAAUCCCAGCCCAAUGAAAGCACCACUAUAGGUAGACUUCUGUCCAAUGGUAAUUACUGGGCCUGGUGUCUAUAAGCCCUAUGUAUGUUCUCAAUACUGUUCCUGUGAAUUUCAUCACUUCUGUUUCUUGUGGACAAAACACACCCUGGAGCCAUUGGGUAUUGGCUUACAUUUUAUGGUCAAAUAGAGAAGCUAGCUAUGAGUCUUUCCCACAAGGCAACCUCAAGGAGUAGAGCCUGUGGCUGGAAGUCCAUUGGCCAACCUAUUCUGAUCCACAUAGGACUGACUAUCCAUUUGAAAACACCCUAGGGUCCCAAAUAUGCUCUUAAAACCUACUCUUCAGGCCAGGUGAGGUGGCUUACACCCGUAAUCCUAUCUGGGAGG